rnacentral:rRNA from 14 species
GUUUGAUCCUGGCUCAGAUUAAACGCUGGCGGCAUGGCUAAAACAUGCAAGUCGAACGAUCCCUUCGGGGAGAGUGGCGAAAGGGCGAGGAAUAGAAUCGAAUGUACCCCAAGGUGAAGGAUAGCUUCUGGAAACGGAAGGUAAUACUUCAUGUGCUCUACGGAGGAAAGGUUUACCGCCUUGGGAGCGGCGAUUCACCUAUCAGGUUGUUGGUGAGGUAACGGCUCACC